rnacentral:rRNA from 1 species
GACAGAGGGUGCGAACGUUGUUCGGAAUUACUGGGCGUAAAGGGUGCGCAGGCGGCGUCGCAAGUCAGGCGUGAAAUCCCCGGGCUUAACCUGGGAACUGCACUUGAAACUAGCGGGCUUGAGUGCGGCAGAGGGGGGUGGAAUUCCACGUGUAGCAGUGAAAUGCGUAGAGAUGUGGAGGAACACCGAUGGCGAAGGCAGCCCCCUGGGUCGACACUGACGCUCAUGCACGAAAGCGUGGGGAGCAAACAGG